CAGAAGAAGUGAAGAACGUUUUUUUUAGAAAAAAAAUGUGAAGAACGCAUUUUUGCUUCGGUUCUGACAAGAGCAGAGUAUAAUAUUUUGCUUCAAAUGGUGCUGGGAAAUUGAGUGUUUCUUAUAUAUAUCUCAAUGGAUGACACAACAGAUCGCGAGUAAUUACAGAAUUACAAAAAAAAGGAACAUGAAGAGAAAUAAUUCAAUCGAGGAAUUCAGAGCAAGCCGGGGCGCGAGUGGAAGGGGAACUGAUGCACCACGAUCGGUGGAGCCUUGCUAUCAUCUCGCCUCUUCCUCCUCUCCUUGUCCUUGCCCCCUGCUGCCGCUCCCUGCUCGCCUCCCUUGUUCAUCUUCCCCUCACCUGCCCCCCGCUUCUGCCGCUGCUUAGCCUCUGGAUCACCUCCCGAUUGCUUACCGCCGGCAGCAGGCGACACGGCGGCGACGCCGCCGCAGCAUCCUCCCAAAGAAGCCCAGUACCAUGAUUGUUGGCCGACGACAGAGCGCGCGGUGGGUGGAUCGAUGGACCGAUGUUUUUCCUUCAGCCGAUCGAGCAACUCCUCCUGAUCCUGAUGACUACUGCGUUUGAGCUCUGGUGGUCUACGUGCUGCUCCGAUGUCUCCUGCUGCUGCUCAGCUGCUGUGUCUGUGUGCCUCUGUGUCUCUGAGUGGCAGCUUAAUUUAUAGGAGGCCGCUGCUGCCAAUCGAGUUGCGUGACGAGCCGGCGGGGUGCUUUUGUUGCUGCGGAUGCGUGCCGGGUGGCAAGGGAAGGUUAGCUUGAAGCUUCGUCCAAGAAGGCUCCGGGUGAGAGUGAGACGCUGAGUGAACGAGUCUAUUGGCUUGUAUUGGUCUUGCUCCAUCAGCUUGCGGAUAUGAUGCUGACGCUGCCUUGGUUGCCAAGGUUUCUACUCCCGUGUUUUGACUUAGGCCUUGUUUAGUUCACAAAAUUUUUCAAGAUUCCCCAUCACAUCGAAUCUUGCGGUACAUGCAUGAAGCAUUAAAUAUAGACGAAAACAAAAACUAAUUACACAGUUUACCUGUAAAUCACGAGACGAAUCUUUUGAUCCUAGUUAGUCUAUGAUUGGAUAAUAUUUGCCACAAACAAACGAAAGUGCUACAGUGGCAAAAUCCAAAACUUUUCCCAAACUAAACAAGGCCUUAGACUCAGGCCUUGUUUAGUUUAUGCAGAAAAUCAAAAAGUUUUCAAGUUUUCCCGUCACAUUAAAUCUUGCGGUAUAUACAUAAAGCACUAAAUAUAGAUGAAAUAAAAACUAACUAUACAGUUUGUCUGUAAAUCGUGAGACGGAUCUUUUGAUACUAAUUAGUCUAUAAUUAGACAAUAUUUACUACAAACAAACGAAAAUACUACAAAUAUAAAAUUUUUUCGCAUCUAAGCAAGGCCUCGGGUAGAUGCUCUGAAGCUCAGCUCAGCUCGGCGGCGUCCACAGUCAAACCAACGUGGGCUUUAAUGUAUAGAGGGCUUGGCUACCUAUAUACUACUCCUAAAAGGCUAAAAUAGUUUAUCGAUCGAGUGGUCUGGCGGAAAAAUAAACGAGAGCGAGGAACUUUCUCGUGUCGUGGCGUCGUGGGAGAGGAGAUGACCGAGCACGGCGCUGUCAGGUGGAAAACGACCACUCGUGUCUAGUGGGUUCGUUAACCUGCCACUGUGUGCCACAUGGCACGUGCUACUAGUACAGUAGUACUUUACUUUGGUUAUCUGUCUAUCUGACGUUUUCAUUCGGCAAGAUACCGGCCGUCCUGUGAGACUUCUUUACUGCGUUAUUCCUUUUCAAAUUUCACUACCACUAGUUUUUGUCGUACUCGUGGUAUUUCUUGUGGAAACAAUUUUUUGAUGUUCAUUUUUUUUCAAUCUUUUUGGAAGUCCGGCGGGCUCUAGAUUCUGACUUCUAAGUAUGGGUAUGUGGAGUAGCCUGAAUUUGAUUUGUCACUGGAAAUAAUGAAGGGGUGGUUUGGAAGUAGGGAUGAAAACGGAUCGGAUCGGUGCGGGUACUGCCUUUUCCAUAUCCUAAUCCACUUUUUUUUGUCGGAUUCGGUGCGGAGCGGAUAAUACACGGAUGCGGAUGUGGAUACGGUUUUUUUCGGUAGUCGGAACUGGUACGGAUAUGGAGCGGAAACGGAUCGGAGACGGAUAUACAUAGAGAAUUAUAUGCUUGUCAAGAAUUUAUUUAGUACAAAACAAGAAUAGGCAAUAGAUAAUAAUUUUGCAUUGCAUUCCAUGUUGCUACUCUCACACUAAUAAUUAACACUUUACAUGAUAUCUCCACUAAAAAAUAAUAAGUUAUUAGCCAAUAAAUAAUAGCAUCUAGCAAAAUUCUUAAUUUAAAAAUUAGAACAUUAAACAACCACAUCAUAAAAUACAAGUCCUCAACUAACAAACUUUUUAAAAUCCUAAAUUCUUUAGUCUUGGAAGAGAAAACCUUCGGAUAUCCUAUUUUGAACAUCGGAUAAUCCACAUAAAAUUUGCGGAUAAUCCAUAUCCGCCGGAUUUUACCUAUUCCAUAUCCUACCCCGUAUCCGCAGACAAUCGGAUUCGGAUUACCCGUAUCCGUACGGAUGUUAAAAGUUCUUCUCCAUAUCCUCAAAAUUCGGAUUCGGAUCGGAUCAGUUCGGAAAAUUAUCCACACCACUUUCAUCCCUAUUUGGAAGAGCUCUAACUUCAGUUUCUCCGAAGAAAAUCACUCCCAGUCAAUUAAACGCUCAAAAUAUCAACUGAUUCAGGUAAGAAUUAGGAGAGAAUUAUUUCACCAUUUACAUUAGGAGCUGGGAGCUAAAAAAAACCUACUUCACUCUACUUCUUGUUAUAUUUUGGUGAGGAUCAACUCCCCACCCUGCUCAAUGAAAAUCACUUUAUCGGAUACUUAAGGAAAAGAGCUAAAGAAUCAGUGAGCUGCACUCUCCUAGACGGGGCCUCAUUCAUCAUGUUACACUACGGAGAGCGAAGGAGUACUAUGUUACAAUCUCUACGCGGUCAUUUUCUUUUUGUGAACUUCAAAGAAAUUUCCUCAUCUAAUCCCUCGCAUGCAAAAUACUCCGAGGCUCCUAUAUAUUCCUUAAUUAGUAACGCUGAUCUUUCUACCGUAACUCACAAGUCGGUUUGACUUCGACCGUGCCGAAGGAAUACAGCGGCAUCAGCAGUCAGCGGUCAGCCGUGCGUGGGAGUAGGAUUCCACCUGAAGCAUGCCUGCUUGCCCGUGCGUGUGUGCUCCCCAUCUAUCCCAAAAUCUUCAAGAACAUCCCUCAUCAGAAGGAAAUACCAGCAACUUCCACUAUAAAUAUGAGUACAUACUACUACUACUACUAUUAGCCUGCAUCAGAACAUUCAGAACAACCAUUAGAACAUUCAGCAACACUAGGUUCACAUACGCACUCAACAUUCAGAACAACCAUCAAGCAAACCACAAAGCCUGCGAUGGCUCAGCUCGGAAUCGGCAGCCCUGCUCGGCCUUUCAGUGCUUCUCCUGAAGCAGUGACGACGAACACGACAGCCUCAACGACGGCGAAAGCCGGAGAUGGAGAGCUGAAGAAGCAACAACCAGUCCAAGUCAACGGAACUGGCGUUCAGAAGACGGGAGAUCAUCAUCUCAAGGUUGCAAAACUAGAGGGGACGAAGAACAACGAGCGAGCACCCAUCGUCGUGCAUCACUUCCCCUUCCCUUCUCGCCAUGGACUGCUGUGAUCUCGGCCCUGGCUUGUUUGACAUCGUCACCUUUACUUCUCGUCUUGUUUGGAAAAUAUGUAGUACACACAUGGGUCGUCUGCCAUAGUUUUCUUUACAUGUUUUGCAGAAGGAAAACAACAUAUAUGAUGACACAUGGGGCCAAUAUUAAUGGACGAUAAGCAUUAUGAGGCUAUUCUUAGUGCAAGAUUCCAUGGUGUCUUGUUUCCAAAACUACUACAUGUCCACAUCAGCUAGAAUGCAAUGAAAUAUGGAUGAAACAAGAGCUCUCUAUGCAUAGUUUCAUUUUUUCAUAGCCGCUAUAACAUUCAAUUCCACGACUCAUUUAGAGUUGAAAAUAGAGCCAACUGUCUUUCAUCUACAUGAAAAUUAUUGUCAAUAUAAAAAAAAUGCAUGUAUGGCACUCUAAUGUGGAUGAAAUCCCCACCAAAACUAGCCUUAAUGACGAAUACACUGCUUGUAACAACCUAAACAUUGCAUAUGUUGAUAAAUAUCCUAUUCAUCAUCCUUUGUCAUACGCCUAAACAGGUUGCGACCAACAAUGGCGAGAACGGGCUAGCCAAAGCCCAUGGAGGGGGCGCCACCGCCCCAGCUGCCACUCUAGGAGGGCCUGGCGGCCCGCCCUAAGGGUGGGAGUGCCACUGUCACCGCGCCGUUUUCUUUCGUGUCAUCUUCGGUUACCAUAUCUAGUCUUAGUUGAUUUUGGAUAUGGUUUGUUAGGAUAGAAAAUAAUUGAUGAGAACCGCGUUUGGUAAGGAUUCCCUUAUUUUUCUUGUGAGCCAAGUCCAAUAGAAACUAUAAAAAUAAGGGACAUGUAACUGCAUCAAUCAAGUAAUAGACGGGUGAAAACUCUUUCUUCUCUCUGCCUCUCCUCCUGCGCAGCCCCUGCACCGACGUCUCUACCCUGCGCUGCCGCCACCACCUCACCGCCGGUGGCCGCCCUGGCCACGACCCUAAUACCCUCAUUGUAUCAACAAAAAAAACUUAAUUCUAAAAAUUCAAUGUCAAAAGCUAUUAAGCCUAGCAUUAUUUUGCAGUGAUGGACAAUCUAGAAACCUUAUCGAAUGGGCUGCUCCUAGUAAGUUUGAUUGUGUACUGUCUUGUAGCACCCCAUCGGUAUAGUCAACAAGCAACAAUCAGAGUAGUAAAAUACACUAAUGGCCCCUAAACUUCGUAUGGAUGUAGUCUGGACCCAUUUGGACCUUUGACUUUUCAUAUGCCUAGUCUAGGUACGUGGAUGUGCAUUUUUUGGACCUAAAUGGUAUCAAGUUUAAGGGCCGUCAUUGCAUUUUAUUGCUGUCCUACUCUCCUCGCUCCUAGCACUGCUCUCCUCUCUCUCUAUCUAGCACCACUUGCUAGGUGGGCUAACACUAUUUCUAGGUCCAACACAUUAGACACUCACACACAUUGUCUCUCCCAGUCUCUCCGUAUUCCUCUCUCUAUCACACUUACCCAAGAACAAAGAAGAAGAACUCCAAGGAGGAGGAAGGAGAAGGUGAAGGCUAGCAAGAGGAAGGAUCAAAGGAUGCCCCAAGCACCUCCCUAACUCACUUUCUCACUAUUGCUUAUGUGGGCUAGGAGAGCUCUCAUCCCCUUGUAUUGGUGCUCAAACAAGAAGAGCAAUGGAGAAGGAGAAACAAGGAGCCAAUCCUGUUGGAAUAUGAUCCUAAUUAUAACGUGAGUCCUACGGGGACGCCUAGAGGGCCCACGGUUCGGGUUAUGUUUAUUAGCGGAUUUGUUUCCGUAUUUGACUGCAGUCAGUCCGUCCUAUAAAUACAUCUUGUAAGCCGUAUGGGAAGAGUUGAGAGAGAGACAACUCAUUAUUCUCUACGUUUUGUAAACUCUCAUCAUAUAGUGAAGAUCGCCGGUUGGCGCCCGUGGUUUUUUUCCCGCAAGGGUUUUCUACGUAAAAAUCUGUGUCUCGUGUUCGAUCUAUUAUUGCUUUAUUUUCUAACAAGUGGUAUCUAGAGCCAGACACGAGAUUGAAAAAAAAUUAGGGUUUUAUUCCCUGUUCGUUCCAUCACGCCGCCGCCGUCAACAUCGCACCAUCGCGCCGCCGCCUGAUUAAUCUCGGCUACUGCCGCUGCUGUUCCAGGCAUUGCUGUUGUGCAGUGCUGGUGCCGUUAUCAGGCGCACGCGAAUCAAGGAGUCGCCAAGCGCUGGAAGUCUGCUGCUGCUUCUCCGUGGAAAUUUGCUUUGCACAACAGAUCCGUUGUGCGCGUUUUGUGUGCGUGCGCGUGGUUGAUGCCCGCCGAGAUCGAGUCGGAAUUGUGUGCUUCGCUGCUGUCGGAGGCAGAGUUGAUUUGAUCGGGUUUUAUAAAAGCUGCGCGCUGCUAGAGGAAAAUCCGUGAAUUUCGACCAAACUGUGCAAUUAGUUUUUAUUUUUGUUUAUAUUUAAUAUUUCAUGCAUGUGUCUAAAGAUUCGAUGUGACGGAGAAUCUUGAAAAGUUUUUGGAUUUUAGAUGGAAGUAAACAAGGCCUAUAUAGAGAGCUCGGAGUUUGCCAUCUCACGCACGAAGAUCGAGGACUGCAAGAGCAGAAUCACGAUUCCUUUGCGUGGGUGGAAAAGUUGGUGAAUUUUGCUACGUGCACACAAGAAUUCGUACCAGGAGAUUUGUUCAUUGGCAGUUCUAUGCUAAUUGUACACAACAAGUGUACCAGGCUGCAGUUCUUGCUAGGGUUACACCUAAAUUUCUGCAGAUUAUGAUAUUCCUCAACUGGAUCGCGAUACAAGGUUUGCUCUUUGGCAAGUCAAGAUGAGGGCUAUUCUGACGCAGGCUGAAGUGGAUGAUGCUCUUGAUAAAUUCGGUGACAAGGAUUCAAAAUCUUGGACCGAUGAGGAGAAGAGAAAAGAUCGUAAGGCCUUGACUCAAAUUCAGCUUCAUCUUUCAAAUAAUAUUUUGCAAGAUUGUUUGCAGGAGAAUACUGCAGCUGCUUUAUGGCUCAAGUUAGAGUCAAUUUGCAUGUCUAAGAAUUUGACAAGCAAGAUGCAUUUGAAGAUGAAGUUAUAUACGCACAAGUUGCAAGAGGGUGGCUCUGUGCGUAACCAUCUUUCAGUCUUCAAGGAGAUCGUUUCUGAUCUAUAGGCUAUGGAGGUAGAUUAUGAUGAUGAGGAUUUGGGUCUUAUUCUUUUGUGCUCUUUGCCUAAUUCUUUUGCAAACUUUAGAGAUACACUGUUCUAUAGUCAUGAUACUCUAACGCUUGAUGAGGUUUCUGAGGCGUUGCAUGCCAAGGAAAAGAUGAAACAGAUGGUGUCUUCUGAAGGUUCUGCUUCUAAAGGAGAAGCGUUGUCUGUUCGUGGGAGGACAGAAAAUAAAAUUAAUGGCAAUAGAGGCAAAAGUUCCAAUGGUUAUAAAGGCCGAUCAAAGUCUCGAGGUAGAGGUGAAAAAUUCUGCAAGUAUUGCAAGAAGGAUAAUCACUUUAUCGAGGAUUGUUAUAAAUUAAAAAAUAAAGAGAAGAGAACUGGCACAUAUAGAGAGAAAGGUAAAUCCAAUGAUGAAGGUAAUAUUUCUGUUGCUGCUUCUAAAGCAGAUGGUGAUUCGCUUGUUGCUUUUGCUGGAUGUGCUAAUAGUGAUGAUGAAUGGAUUCCUGAUUCCGCUGCUUCUUUCCAUAUAUGCACUAAUAGAGAUUGGUUUGUCACCUAUGAUUCUCUCCAAGGUGGAGGUUAUGUUAGAUUGGGUGAUGACAGUCCACUUGAUAUUGUUGGCAUUGGAUCUAUUCAAAUUAAGAUGCAUGAUGGCAUUGUCAGAACUUUGACUGAUGUGAGGCAUAUUCCAGACAUGAGCAAGAAUCUUAUUUCUCUCAGUACUCUUGAUGUUAAAGGGUACAAGUACUCUGGUGGAGAUGGAGUUUUAAAGGUGUCAAAAGGUUCUCUUAUUGUGAUGAAAGGUGAAUCGAAAUCUCCAAAUUUGUACCGUCUUCGUGGUACUACAAUUACAGGUGAUGCUACUGUAAUUUCUAAUUCACCAUCUAAUUCUGAUGCUACAAAUCUUUGGCAUAUGCGUCUUGGACAUAUGAGUGAGCAAGGCUUGCAUGUAUUAUGCAAGAGAGGACUUCUUGAUGAACAUAGCAUCAGUAAGCUGAAGUUUUGUGAGCAUUGUGUGUUUGGCAAACACAAGAGGGUGUCAUUUAAUACCUGUACUCAUAAAAGUAAAGGUAUUCUUGAUUAUGUGCAUUCUGAUUUAUGGGGACCAUCUCGCGAGCCUUCUAUUGGUGGUUCUCGUUAUAUGUUGACAAUCAUUGAUGAUUAUUCUCGUAAGGUAUGGCCUUAUUUUCUAAAGUAUAAAUCUGAAGCAUUUUCAGCAUUUAAAGAGUGGAAGAUUAUGAUUGAAAAUCAAACUGAGAAGAAGGUUAAAAAGCUUCGCACUGAUAAUGGGAUGGAAUUCUGUUCUAAUGAAUUUAAUGCAUAUUGCAAGUCUCAAGGCAUUGUUAGGCACUACACUAUUCCUUAUACGCCUCAACAGAAUGGUGUAGCUGAGCGUAUGAACAGAACUAUCAUCUCCAGGGCCCGUUGUAUGUUGUCUAAUGCUGGCUUUGAAUAAGUGUUUUUGGGCCGAAGCUGCUUCCACUGCUUGCUAUCUUAUUAAUUGUUCACCCUCGAUUCCUCUUGAUAAGAAAACUCCAAUUGAGGUAUGGUCUGGAUCUCCAGCUGAUUAUUCACAAUUGAGAGUUUUUGGUUGUACUGCUUAUGCUCACGUUGAUAAUGGUAAAUUGGAGCCUAGAGCUGUUAAAUGCAUUUUUUUUGGUUAUCAACAUGGUGUUAAAGGUUAUAAAUUGUGGAAUCCCUAGACUCAGAAGGUUAUGCUUAGCAGGAAUGUUAUCUUUAAUGAGACUGUUAUGUUUGUUGACAAUCCUUCUGUUGAUGCUCCUAUUGAGGGAGAGAAAAUAAGUGUGCAGGUGGAGCACUUAAUUAAUGCACCAGAGGUUGAUAAUGCUUUUAUCCAAGAUACAUCUAUUGCUGAAAUUUCUCCAAUUGUUGAUGAUUCAUCUAUUGUUGAGCAUUCUUCUCCAGUUGUGCAGUCUCCACAACGUUCUGUUGCUAUUGGUAGGGCCAGAAGGCAGCCCAAGCCUGUUAAAAGGUAUAUUGAAGAAUGCAAUGUUGCUUAUGCUAUGAAUGUUGCAGAAGAGAUUGAAAGUAAUUCAGAACCUUCUAAUUAUUCUGAGGCUAUUACUUCUGCUGAUUGCAACAAUUGGAUAACCGCUAUGCAAGAUGAGAUGGAGUCACUUGAAACGAAUGGUACUUGGAAUUUAGUGAAAUUGCCCAAGAAUAAAAAGCCUGUCCGUUGCAAAUGGAUUUUCAGAAGAAAGGAGGGUAUUUCUCCUAGUGAACCAGCAAGGUAUAAAGCAAGGUUGGUUGCUAAAAGGCUAUAGUCAGAUUCCAGGUAUUGAUUAUAAUGAUGUCUUUUCCCCAGUUGUUAAGCAUAGUUCAAUUCGCACUUUGCUUAGUAUUGUUGCCAUGCAUGAUUAUGAACUUGAGCAAAUUGAUGUUAAAACUGCAUUCUUACAUGGGGAGUUGGAAGAAGACAUUUAUAUGAACCAACCUGAAAGUUUUGUUAUUCCUGGAAAAGAAAACCUUGUGUGUUGACUAAAGAAGUCUCUUUAUGGUUUGAAGCAGUCUCCUAGGCAAUGGUAUAAGAGGUUUGACUCAUUUAUGCUCUCUCAUGGCUUUAAGCAGUCUGAUUAUGAUAGCUGUGUUUAUUUGAAGAGUGUUAAUGACUCAGCUAUUUAUUUGCUUCUUUAUGUUGAUGAUAUGUUGAUUGCUGCUAAAGAUAAAUCAGAAAUAGCUAAAUUGAAGGCACAAUUGAGUAAAGAAUUUGAGAUGAAGGACUUAGGUGCGGCUAAGAAAAUUCUUGGUAUGGAAAUUACUAGAGAUAGAAAAUCUAGUAAAUUAUACCUCAGUCAGCGAGGUUAUAUUGAUAAGGUUCUUCGUCGUUUCAAUAUGCAUAAUGCAAAACCAGUGAGUACUCCAUUAGCUGCACAUUUCAGAUUAUCCUCAGAUUUAUGUCCAGAGUCAGAUGAUGAAAUUGAGUACAUGUCUAGAGUUCCAUAUUCCAGUGCAGUUGGUUCUCUUAUGUAUGCCAUGGUUUGUUCUCGUCCUGAUUUAUCUCAUGCAUUGAGUGUUGUCAGUAGAUUCAUGGCUAAUCCUAGUAAGGAGCAUUGGAGGGCUGUUCAGUGGAUUUUCAGAUAUUUGCGAGGUACUUCUAAUGCCUGUUUGUAAUAUGGGAAAUCUAGAGAUAGACUUGUUGGUUAUGUUGAUUCUGAUUAUGCUGGUGAUUUGGAUAAGAGGAGAUCUCUCACGGGUUAUGUUUUCACAAUUGGUGGUUGUGCUGUUAGCUAGAAAGCAAGUUUGCAGGCUACUGUUGCUUUGUCUACAACAGAAGCUGAAUAUAUGGCUAUUUCUGAAGCUUGUAAAGAAGCUAUUUGGUUGAGAGGUUUAUACUCUGAACUUUGUGGGGUUACUUCUUGCACUACUAUACAUUGUGAUAGCCAGAGUGCUAUUUGUCUGACUAAGGAUCAGAUGUUUCAUGAAAGGACCAAGCACAUUGAUGUGAGAUAUCAUUUUAUUCGAGGUGUUAUUGCUGAAGGUGAUGUUAAAGUAUGCAAGAUAAGUACUCAUAACAAUCCCGCUGAUAUGUUGACAAAGCCAGCUCCUGGAGCUAAGUUUGGGCUAUGCUCAGGCUUAGUUGGUAUUACAAUUUGAGUCCUAGUGACUUUUGGCGUCGGUGAUUAUUUAUUAUUGAAGUGAGUUGAUUGAUGAUACUUCAUUCGCUACAAGAUGGAAUUCGUCUCAAGGUGGAGUUUGUUGGAAUAUGAUCCGAAUUAUAACGUGAGUCCUACGGGGACGCCUAGAGGGCCCGCGGUUCGGGUUAUGUUUAUUAGCGGAUUUGUUUCCGUAUUUGACUGCAGUCAGUCCGUCCUAUAAAUACAUCUUGUAAGCCGUAUGAGAAGAGUUGAGAGAGAGAGACAACUCAUUAUUCCCUACGUUUUGUAAACUCUCAUCAUAUAGUGAAGAUCGCCGGUUGGCGCCCGUGGUUUUUUUCCCGCAAGGGUUUUCCACGUAAAAAUCUGUGUCUCGUGUUCGAUCUAUUAUUGCUUUAUUUCCUAACAAAUCCUUACCUCACUACUGAUUUCUCUAGGCACAUCUUGGUCUAAGGUUGGUGAAUCUCGCCUUCCUAGAGACCAAUUUAGUUUUGUUGAAAGAACAGAGACCAAUUUAGUUGGUAUCACCCUUAGCAAAAUCACCAUAUUAAGCUUCACCAAAGCACAAUCUAGGAUGUGCACCUUGGUAGAUUAGCUCUAAAGGUCCUUAGAAACACCUUUGAACAAGCUCAACACAAAUCCCCAACUCAAGCUACAAUUAGCAUGCCUGGAUUUGGAUUUCGGAGUGCCUAAUGUCCUGAUAAUAGCAAAUCCAAAUAAUAAAAAUAAUAAAUACCAUAUGAAUUUUCUGCUCAUUACAUUUUUUUGUUUCAGAUAAUGAGGACUGCCAUUGCAUUUAUAUAUCAUUAGGCUGAUAUUUGAGGUGAUCUUGCUCACCAAAACUCAUAUGUGUUUUUUUUGCGAGGAUGUGUUUUAUUUUCUCUUGUAUAAAACUCAUGUAUUUGCGUGACCUUUUACUCGCAAAAACACAUGUUAUAUUUCAUUUUCUUAUAUGUAAAACCAUUCGUGACAUUUGGGGUUCUAUUGGAUCAGCGAGUGGUUAGAUUGGCUGUUGAUCCAAUAUACAGAAAAGGUACAACAACUCAAACGUCUUGACUAUUCUUGGUUUGGAGGGUAUUUUAGAAUUAGUAUAAUAAAAAACAAGCUCUGUGCUAUCCAAUUUUGUAAAAUAGAAAGCUAAUUAUUCCUUGAUUUUAUGUAGCCAUAUACAGCCAACUAUAGGCGCUAGCUAUCUAAGAUGAGAAAUAUCAAGUAUGUUAUAGAAUGCUUCUUUUUUGAGGACUUUUCUAUUCUACAAUAUGGCUAAACUGUAGAGUUUAGCUACUAAUUUUAACUAAGCUGUCCGAGUUGCUAUCGAUAAAAGAGAAAAACCGUCAUCAUUCCAGGACCGUCAAUCCGCUCCACGAGUUGAUCGGUUUUGCAUGAACCAAAAAAUCUUGGAGUGGCAAGUUGAGAUGAAAGAACAUGCUUGCACUUGAAGUCCUUUUCGUGGUGACAGACAAGUCAAGAGUGACUGAAUUUAACCGUGAUUAUGUAGGCAACUUGCCUCCAGUUCAUGCUGACAUUUCCACGCCUCAUUUUCACAUUCCUUCACGGGGAAGUUCCCUCUCCUAGCUUGCAGAAUCACCAAAUAAAUGACGUGUCAGUUUGUCUUGGUUAGCUAGCAACCCAACAAUUGAUGGGCAACCUUGGUGGUGAAGGUACACAAAGUCAGCACGACUCCUCUCUCUUCAGCAGCUGGGAGCUUGAAACCACCCCAUCCUUCAACAAAAAGAAGUAUCCCCAGCUCCCUUAUAAAUAGGUUCCUAAAUCAGUAACACUUGACACACAGAAAAGCUAGCAGAACACACCAACUCAAGAGUAGAUUGUUGUCGUCAGAAAAAAAGCACGAGAGAUGGUUCGGGGACUUUGCAGAUGCUUUGGAGCGCCUCCUGCGGUAGAGGGAAAGAAGCCGUCACCUGCAUCGAAGGAACGACCUAAGAAGCAACAGGCAGACAGAGAUCAGGAAGGAGCUAGUGGUGAAGCGAGUGAGCCGAAGAUGGCGGUUGACAGGGCCAUGGUAGUAAAGGAGAAGACUGCUCCAGUAGCAAUGCAUCAGUUUCCCUUUCAUUCUCGGCCUGGACUGCUGUAAUUUUGCUUGGUUCUUUUGUGACCUCAGCUCUUUCUCUUGGAUCUGGUUUGGACAUGCAUUGAACUAGAAGCUUAUAAAAUUAUAUGUUCUUGCUGUCAGAAGUUAGGGAAGCAUGUAGUAGGGAGAGAGACUGAUAUCUCUUCUUCUGUAGCAAGCAUGUGGUUGUUUCAGUUCUUGAUGCUCUAGUGAUCACAACAGUAUAAGAGCAAGGUUAAUAAUACAGCCAGCCCGCCGGCUGUAAGGUUUCUUUACACCCUUCUUGCAGCCCACUCAUAUAAUUGUUAACUCAUCACUAUUAAUACAUGGCCUACUUGUCUCUCUCACAAACUUUUUUGGUUCUUGUGUCUGAGCCGGCUGUAAGCUUACCGCCCACUUUUACUCUCUCUCUUCUUCCGUCUCUUCCACAUCAGCAUUUAGCUGGCUUACAGCCUACUAUAAUACUUGCUAUAAUAUCAUGUACUAGAGGCACGUACUCUGAGAACUGCAUGGAUAAGUUCUACUAGGACAAGACUUUGACCAACAAUUACUAUUUAAUACAUGAAAUUUUCACACAAACUUGAUUGAUAGAUUCGCGAAACAUUGAUAAGGGCACUCCAAUGCUAGAAACUACAUAUAGUUUCUAUACCCAUUAAUUUUUAUAGACACUAUAUAUAGAAACUAUGGUCCCAAUGAAUAGUUUCUAUAGAAUAUUUUUAUAUCCAAUCACAUUCAUUCUCUCUCCAUUCUUAGCCAAUCAUAUCACUUCAUGUCUUGGAUUUUGUGUAGACAUGGUUUCUAACUUAGACCCAGUUUCUAUGAUUUUUACUCUCUCUCUUCAAUAACUACAUUGCCACAUCAGCAAAAUGCUUAGGUGACACUGCAAUUAAUGUCUAUAGAAACCACAAUGGUUUCUGCAUUGGGAGUGCUCUAAGUACUUAUAAUUAUUAUUUAUAGCACGCAUGAAUGACAUGUUAAUGGACUAAUCAGAGUACUUUUGAUCUUUGAUUCCGGUGACAUAAUUUAUAUGAACCUUAAUGUAUUUUCCCAAAUGAACUUCAAAAUUAUUUUACUUUGUGCUGAAAUAAAAAAAAAGCAUUGAAAUAAUAAGAAUCUACAUUUUUCAUGUUUCUUAUACACUAUAGCACCGUGCUCGUCUACUGGCCAGAAUGGUUUAAGGAACAUAAGUAUAUUAUCAGAAGUUUGUGUGUGGUACCUAUGACAAAUAAAAAGUAUUUUUGUUGUAUUUAUUUAUUUAUUUAUUCCCUAACACAAUAUGUGUUCCUAUAUAUAAAGGUUUUAUGAACUUACUAGUAAGCCCUCAUAAAACAACUUAUCAAUAUCUGUUUUCAUUCAUAUCCAUAGUUUUGUUUUUCCAUUUGCAUGACACUUUAUAUAUGUCUUCAAUAACCUUAGCUUAGGUUAUGGUCGAACCCUAUUGCAACCCAUGCCUUGUAGUUUUUUGAAUAUAGAUUUUGACAUUCAAAUUUUGGUUUUAUUUGUUACUACACAAAUUUUCAGGUUAUUAAGUUGAAACUCAUGUGCUUUAUUGUACCUUGAUGUGAACUUUUUCACUAAAAAGAAACCAUAGCUUUAUGUUUAGACAACUCUUUUCGUAUAAAUGGCCAUUUUUAAGCUUGCAUCACGCCACUCAAGAUCUGAGGUGAAUCUUUUUUUUUUUUUGCAAAUUCCACAAGUAUAGAUUCAUAUACUGUGGGGGUAUAAACCCCUAUACCCUCAUGGACCGAUAUGGACCGCACCAUCAGAGGUGGCUCGGCCCACAAGAUGAAGACGUGUGACGCAUGACGUUGGUCGGCGUGCACCGCAAGGCUACAAGAUAUUGUACCAAAUAGAAUAGUUUACUUGUAACUCUGUUCCUUCACGAUAUAUAAGGAGGGGCAGGGGUCCCCUAGAGGACAGGUCAUAGACAUCUCAAUUCAUCUCAACACAAUCCAAUACAAUCAGACGCAGGACAUAGGUAUUACGCCCACACGGCGGCCGAACCUGGAUAAAAACUUUGUCUGUGUCUUGCGUCACCAUCGAGUUCGUAGCUUGCGCACCGUCUACCGAUAAACUACUACCGUGGUAUACCCUAAGGUAGACUGCCGACUAGCUUUCGUCGACAGUGGCGCGCCAGGUAGGGGGUGUGCGUACAGCUCUCCUAGACGAACAAGAUGGCCAUCAUCCCCCACUUCGCGGCCAUGGCGGACGGCUUCACGUUCAUCGUCGGCUUCAACAGCUUCAUCGCCAUGACCACAGAGGAGGCGUAGAUCCGAUCUAUGUUGAUCACUUCUUCACCGACGUCGGCUGCGGCUCCAACCACGCUGGCCACGGUUUCGACCACACCAGCAACGUCUCCGACCACGCCGACAACGCGUCGCCCCUUCUCUGCUACAAAGGGAGACAGAUUGACGACACUGACCUGCUCAGGCUAUCGACCAAGUUGUUUGGCCUACUUGCUCUGACCACGACUCGCAAUAAUAAUCGCCGCGAAGAACGGCGCUACGACAACCGCGACCACUGUCAUGACAGCAAGUCAAAAAUCUCCAGGACCAGACAAUUCUGUCACCACCGACCAGACUUUCGUCCAAAGAUAAGUACACUUCUAAUAUUUUAUUUAUUUUUCGCAUAAUAUUUUUUAUUAUCCUUCAAAACAACUUUUUGGUUAGCCGACUAGUUUUUUAUCCUACACGAGUUUUCCAGAGCCGGUACUGUCUCCGACUCCUCCCUAUACGUGUAUGAGAACCGCCCUCUGCGUUCCGGGUGGUCGGCAGUAGCUCUCUGGCGAGGCUGACAAGCCCACGCAUGUCUAGGUUCCGCACCUCAUGCUGAUUGUUGGCUAGACCAGAGCUGGUACAAGCUCUAGGAUGAAUUAACUACUCGUGCUAAUUUUAUAAUAAAAAAUCUAAAACUUAUCUCAGUACUGAUUUUUUAUCUAGAGUUUAUUUAUACAUCAUGUACUACCUAUUCUCUAUAUUUAUUUUUCAGGAGUUUGGUCCAGUUGACAAGCUACGAUCGGGGACUCGUCGACUAUUCCCUACGCUGUGCCCGGGGACUGCUCCGACCACCGAGCACGUUUAUGUUCCCAACCACGCUCGGGGACUUGUCGACUACUCUCUACGCUGUGCUUGAAGACUGUGCCGACCACCGAGCACAUUUACGUUUCCAACCACGCUCGGGGACUUGUCCACCAGUCCCUACGCCGUGCUCGGGGACUGUACCGACCACCGAGCACGUCUACAUUCUCAACCGUGCUCGGGGACUCGUCAAUCACUCCCUUCACUGUGCUCGGGGCUUACUUCGAUCACUCUCCAACCACAGCUUGGGGACUGUUCUUCUCAGUUACAUAUGAAUUGGACUCAUAUACAACUGAGGAGUAAUUUUAUUUUUUUAGACCUUGCUACAAGGCUCAUACUUCGCCUUCCAGCAAGCUCGGAGACUACAUCGGUACGAUGCAUCUGGCGAUGCAUCUCAGUUGUAGAAUUUCUAUGAAGACUUUUUUGAUCCUGGUGCCUACGUCACCUACUACCAGGCUCGGGAACUAAGUGGGCACACUUCACCUUGCGGUGAACAUGCUUGAUUUUUGAAAGUCUGUACUUUUCAGAAAAGUAAAGUGGGCACACUUCACCAGGAAAGAAAUCUUUUUUUGAUUAAGAGCACCAUACAUUCUUCGAACAACCUGCUUCUUCGAUGUCAAUGUUGAUCAACUGUCUUUUGAGUUGGUUAAAAUACCGUUGCAACUGUUCGGGCGACUUUCCUGCUUAUCGAAGAUGUCAAGCCUCACUGGUCGAAGAAGCUCAAGACGGCGUGUUACAUCACAAUACAUGGUGCUCGGGGACUAGCUGUGGGGGUAUAAACCCCUAUACCCUCAUGGGCCGAUAUGGGCCGCACCAUCAGAGGUGGCUCGGCCCACAAGAUGAAGACGUGCGACGCAUGACGUUGGUCGGCGUGCACCGCAAGGCUACAAGAUAUUGUACCAAAUAGGAUAGUUUACUUGUAACUCUGUUCCUUCACGAUAUAUAAGGAGAGGCAGGGGUCCCCUAGAGGACAGGUCAUAGACAUCUCGAUUCAUCUCAACACAAUCCAAUACAAUCAGACGCAGGACGUAGGUAUUACGCCCACACGACGGCCGAACCUAGAUAAAAACCUUGUCCGUGUCUUGCGUCACCAUCGAGUUCAUAGCUUGCGCACACUACUAGGUAUGUGCUCAUUAAUGACACUACUCUUUCGUCACUGAAGACACCGAAAUCGUCAUGGAGUUUCUUCUGUGACGAAUUAGUGAUGAAAUAGUGUUUGUCAUGAAAUGAGCGUCAUUGAUUGACAACGGUGACGAAAUGGCAAUUUUCGUCAUAGAUGAGGACUCAUUCUAUGACAAAAAUACCAUCGUCACAGAAGAGAUAUCAUUCCAUGACGAAACCUUUGUGUCAUUGUUGUGUCUAGCUUUUCGUCAUAGCAUGGCAGUCUGUUAGGCUACCAAACGGCGUUUGCCACGCUGGCAGCUGACGUGGCCGCCAUGUGGCGUGCUGAUGUGUCCACCACGUGGCGUGCUGACGUGGCCGCCACGUGGCUUGCUGACGUUGCUGCCACAUUGCGUGCUUACUGACUGCCACGUGUCAUGUUGCAAUGGCUUCCACGUGGCAUGCUGACGUGGCAUCCUCUGGUUAGUCCACGUGUCUAGGUCUGAUUGCAUAUAUUUUUUGUCAUAGAUUAAAAUAUAAAUUCGUCACUGAUUGAAUUAUAGUAUCAUCACAGAAUAAUUAUUUUAUUACAGUGGCAACUGCUGAUUUCAUUUCGAAAUGCAAGAAAUAUUGAAUUGACCGAAAGUAUGCAUAAAACUAAGGAUCCAUUACUCAUAACUUAAUUAUUACUGCUAAAGUUAGUUCACCACACACACUUGGUUUAAAUAGAACAUUUGCAAAGCACGAGAACACAAGUCAUUCCAAAAUCUAAAUCAGCAGGAUGCCAGGCACAAGUAGCUACAGUUCCUAGUCAGUCCUACUACCAGCAGCUAAGCAGCUCUCAUGUCGAAGAAGCAUUGUUGAUGGACAAGAUACGCUUGAGCAGCGCGUUGUCCUCCUCCAUUGCCUUGUUGUUCAUCUCUGCCAGCUUCUUUAUCUCCUCCAUCUCCGUUUGUGUCCUCGCGAGCCGUUCCUCUACUUUUUCACUUCUCCUCUUGAGAUCGUCGAGCUCAACUCGUACAACAGCCUUAGCUUCAGCUCCUAGUUGCUCCCGAAGCUCACUUUAAUUUGAUGCAGAUGAUUUAGAGGAUGACACCGGUUUGAUGCCAACACUCUUGAGGGAGCUAUUUUUAGAGAGCACUUGGGACACAACCUGCACACUAGAUACUUCUGUCUCACCUUCACCAACAGGUUCUGCUCUCAAAGCUUUCAUAUUGACCUGAAACACCAAUUAUCCAUCGUUAGUUGUUAAUCAUUGCAUGAAUCUGAGGAGGAAAUAUCAGACAACAUGUAUUUUAAAGAAUAUAAUAAUCAGCAAGAUAUGUGCUAGAGAGAGGUAGAAGUGAAAUCAUUAUGCUGUAGCAAAUUACAAUUACAGGAAUAGUGCAAAUGUGGAAACAGUAAGUUUCAAAGCAUAGAUAACAUACAAAAGUUGUAUUUCUGUGAAACAUACCAUGCACACAACCUGUAACCAACACAACAUUCCUCAAAAGAAAAUAAUUCACUUGGUAAAACUCUAAAGAAACCAAUAGCAGAAGCACAACUGCACAAGUAUAAAUUAUUCAAUUAAUGGAAAAAUGGGAAAAAUGUGUUAUUCAGGAAGUAUGACAUUCUAUUUCCCAUUUUUUUCCAAGCCAUACUUAUUCAGUGAAUAACCAACAUGUUGGGACACUGAUUAACCAGCAAGUAAAAUGGAAAAAAGGGACACCUGUUGGGACACUGAAUAACCAACAAGUAUAUUGCCCGUGCUAAUGCUACGGUGACAUCUAGGUUAAUACACUUAUGUUAUGUGAUCUUGCAUGUCUAAACAAUGUCAGAAGUCAAAGGUCAAUAUUUGAAUGCAGUAAACAAUAUGUGUAAAAUAAAAAUAAUUGUAUGUUCCAGAAAUCCAAAAUUGACAAGACAACGCAGAAAAUUAUAAAGCAUUUCAAGAAAACAACUCAUAUUAAGGUUAGCCAAUGUUUGCAUUGCUUCUAAAUGAGCUGCUUGCUGGAUCAGGAAGGAGACCACAACGAGGGGAUAGAAACAGGCAUAGCAAGCAAAGGUGUGCUGGCAGAGUUAGCACAUACUCUCAGUUCAAAGUGAAAUGAAAUUAUGAAGCAUGUGUAUGGCAACCAAGAGAGAAUUAGCACAUGGGGACGCACAGGAACCAUGGCCUGCAUCAACUUAGACGGGGCUGUCGUCGCCAUUGACCAAAGCCCAAAACCUGAUCAGUGAAACAAUGCAUAAAAAAUCACAAGCAACAAUAGUAAGAAACAAGCUAUGACUUUGGUUUCACCCUAUGCCAGCAUGCCAGAAUAGUGUGCUUGAUGUCCCUGAGUUACAUGAAUGAAUAUAGAAUCAUGCAAAUUAAGAAACACUACCUGCAUUGACUACAAAAUUAAACUAAGGUACAAUAGUAAGUUCCAGUAGGGAGCCUCUUGUUACUGAUGAUUCGGUGGUAAAGUUUAUAGAAGGAGAGCUGUGAGAUUAAGAUGCACACCAAUUUCCUAUAUUUGUUGUGAAACAAAAUUAGGACUAAACAAUAUCGAGAUAAUUUCAAUACAAGGGAUCAAAAUUGAAUGUAGUCCCAUGAUAGGCUUUACCAACAUGACAUUGUUCUGAAAAAUGAAUAAAAUGCCAGUCUUUACCAACAGGAAUGGUAAAAGAUGACUACAAAUUUUAAUAUACAAAAUGCUAGUCUUUCAGCACCACUUUUUGGUGACAUAUGGUACUACGAUACUACUAAAAUCUCAAUGGACUGAAAAAGUAAAGCAAGCUAUUCAUCGGAUACUGUAUUGUACUGCUGAAAACUAGAAUUGCUCAAUGAUCUAGCCUAGUUGUACCUAAAAACAUAAUUUAUUUGGCACAAUAUCAGAAGACUGCCUGAUGUUCAUUUGGUACAGAACCAAAGUUUACGAUAAUCUGAAUCCAAGCAGUUAAUAUUAUAAAAUGAAACAAGCUAUGACUUUGGUUUCACCCUAUGCCUAUAUCCACAAACUUCAUAAAACCAUGAACACACAGCGAAGCUCUAGAGUUAUCUAAAUCAAGACAAAUCAAUGUGAAGGAAAAAUCUGAAUUGUCAUUUAAAAAAAUAAAAUAGCAGGGACAAUUAGUUGUGUCAUGGACUUAUCAGCAACACAAACCCCCCAAAAGCUACCAUAUGAUGUAUGCUGAAUUAAUAUACCUAGCCUAAGGAAAUCACAAACCUCCAGGUUGACAAACGAUGCAAUCUGGAUGGAUGAUUUCUCCACGAGCAGAUCACAGAACUCAAGCUUUACUCCCAUCAUCAGUUCAGCAGUAAACCAUCAAAAAUUGGGAUCCAAAAUAAAUGUAAAACAGAAAAUAAAAUCUAACAUCCUUGCGUACCCUGAUCUGCAACCAAGAUCCACUUUAUCCCUACUGCCACUAUGGGACUGGCCACUGGGAGUUCAACAUCCACGUGUGAUACUGAUGACAGACAUGACCUUGUCUCCGCUGGGCGAGAUCUGGGAAGGCACGCUUGGCAGCGCAGCAGGACGAAGGAGAGCGCAGCCGCUACGUCCUCGCAGCAGUCCCGGUCACGGUCAGAGGACUCGAAGCCCGACAGACCGAAGCGAACGGUGAGGCAGGGGACCGGCGAGGAGGAGGAAGAGGUCGGGGUCGGCGGCGCAGGCCCGUAGAUCACUCCGAGAACCUGGCACCCAUCUGGUUACCACACUGGUCGCGUAGCCGUCGUGGCCUUCACCCAAACCCUAGGCGCGGGCGCUCCUGCACGAGCGCGUGGAGGCGCUGCCGCCGUCUCCUGACCCACCUCGUGUUAAGCUUUAAACUACCUCGCGGAUGCAGCUUGUCAACGGCGGUUGCCGCGGCGGUGGCGGCUAGGGUUGAGAUGGAGAGAAGAGGGGGAUUGAGUUGAUGAGGACGAGUGAGAGUGGGGGAAAAGAAGAAAAUAUAUCUGAGGUGCGGAAUUAUUUUGACGAGCGAAAUUUUUUGGUGCAGCUAGAGAGGUUGCGGCAUCCUCAUUUUGGGCGAUGGGGUAUCAUUUCAGCUUCAACUAAAUAUGCGCUCAACAAACAACAAACCUUCUUCAAUAGAGCAAUGGUAUGGCCCUCUGAGUGUGAACCUGAGCUGCUAGGUUCGAACCUUGUGGUAGCAGGUUUUUUUUGGUUUUCCAAUUUUUUUGUGAUUUCUAUUUUUAUUAUUUACUAAUUUAUUGUUGGUAUAAUAUAGCGUAAUUAUUUACUAAUUUAUUUUCAAUUUUGUUAUUAGAUUUAAUAUCUAUUAGUAUUGUUAUUUGUCAUUACUAUAUACCAAAUUAAGGUGUCCAUGCAAGUUUGUACAUAUGUUUAGACAUGUAUGCAAGUGUUUACACCAAAAGAUGAACAUUUCUUAGAAUUAGUUGAAUUUUUUUUGUCAACAUUAUACACCAAAGUGAGGUGUCCAUGCAAGUUUUUAUAAUAUUUUAGCUAGCUUUGGGUAUUUAAACAUUAUUCCUUCACUUAUCCAACAAAAAUUACAAUAAUAGUCAAACUUGGUUAGAAAUUCAAACGAUUUUGGCAAGGUGGUACUAUACAUGUUGUUCAAGCAUGAACAACUCUAAUUUAGUUACAAGGUAGUUUAAAGCUUUUAUCAUUUAGUCAUUCAACAAUUAAAUACAAUAAUUGCUAAAAGUGAAAUAAGAUGUUUUAAAAUCACUAAGGCAAAUCAUUAAGCAAUAAUAUAGUAGUAAUUAAUUGAAAAACAGGGAAAAAAACAUAGAGAAAUAGAAAAAGUAUUUAAAACAAAAAUGUAGAAAAAAGAAUAAAAAAAUUAGCUCCCAUUGGGUUCGACCAAGGAGCAAAGAGACAAACUUGAAGUGCCUUACCAUUGGGCUAGUCAAGUGUUUGUGUUAGUUCUCGACCGCUAAGUUACUUAUACGUUAUGUAAGCAUUAUGUUUUUUUGCAACAUUAUUUGCUUCAAAUAUACAGUCGAUCUCCAGUCAGUGUCGCGCCCCUACUGUUGACCCUAUCCAAGACAAGGGCGCGCCGCUCCAUUUCACCCCUUUUCAUAUAUAUAUGUACAACAAUUCUAUAAUAAAUCACAAUCGUGCAUAUAUGAAACAAAAAUUAAUAAACAUAUCACAAAGAUUCAUAUAUAUGUAAAAAUUAUUUCAAACAUAAAAUAGAGUGAAUUCAACAAAAUUGAAAAAAAAACAUCAAACUCAUGCAUAUAUGUAAAAAAAUAAAUAACAAAUUACAGUACAUUCAACAAAAUUUAAAAAACACAUCAAAUACAUACAUAUUAUAUGUACAAAAUUACAUAAACAAUUCGAACCUGCAAUGCCGUGUAAGUCGCGUCGCAACACGUCUGUCACAAGCAUGCCGCCGCUACCUGAUGCACUUCUACACGCGCCAUUGUGUCUGCCUCACGCUUGCUGUCGCAGCAACUCCCAAGCACGUCGCCGCUGCACCGCCACGCUAGGUCGCUGCACUACCACGCUAGCUGGCGGAACACUCUCCCACGCACACCCACCGCUGCAUAUAUGUAUAUAUGUAAAAAAACUCAAAACAAAUCACACGUACAUAUGCAUAUAUAUAUAUACACACACACAAAUAAAAUUUUAAAACUAAUCACACACAUGCUUGUACUGGGAAUAAAUUUAGCCAUUUAGAAAAAAAUAGGAAAGGUAAAAGGUUCUUCCUAUAUACAUGCAUGUACAAAAGAAGAAUACGUAGGGACGCACGCGAGGAUUCAAGCUGGGCCGCACGGCGACGAUCACCUAGGGACACACGACGACGAUCAGCUGGGACGCACGUGACGAUCACCUAGGACACACGAUGUCGGCGAUGAUCAUCUUCUGGGGAUGCAUGGCGUCAGCGGUGAUCACCUGGGGACCCUAUACAAGCGUGUAGCCGCCAGGAGCAAACUCGCGCGAGGGUUCCUUUGCACCUCGCGCAUACGUACAAGUGUUCCACCGAUGACAGAUCAUGGGUAUAGGGCCCAUCGAGUCAGACAGAUUAAAAAAAUAAUAAGUGUGCAAAUAAAUAAACAUGUGCCAUAGGAACAUAGAAGCUUGAUUGGUUUGGUGGUAAAGGUAGCAUCCUCUAAACCAACAGGUCACAGGUUCAAACCUCCUUGCAUAGGGUUUUUUAUUUUUUUUGGGAAAUAAAAAAGGGAGUUGGGUUUAAUAACUAAAUAAAUAAAGCAACAUACAAGACUACAACACAAAUGAGUGAGUGGUUUGUUGGUAACUCACUUGUGCUUGCAACAAUAGGUCACGGGAUCCAAGCUCCCAUAGAGCAAUUUUUUUUGCCAAAUAAAAUAAAAAUCAGAGGGGGAACUCCGCGCAGCAGAUUCGGCCCCGUAUGGCCACGUCAGAUGUGGGGCCCAUUGGUGGGACCACGCCACCAUGCCAGUGAGGCAGGGACAGCUAGUGGGAUCCUGUUGCCACAUCAACAGGGUGGGACCCGCCAGUUGGACCACGGUGGGACCAUGACGCCACGUCAUGACGGUGGGACCCGUCGAUAAGGACCAACUUUGUGGGACCAUGACGCCACGUCAACAAUGUGGGACCAACAAGUGCCACCAUGGUGCCACAUCAUGCCCGUGGGACCCAUUGGUGGGACCAUGCCCCACCUUAUGAUUGUGGGGCCCACCGACGUGACCAUGGCGCCACGUCACUAGGGUGGGACCCGACGGUGGGACCGUGUCGCCUGUGUCAAUGACGUGGGACACAAAGGUGGGACCAAGGCGCCACAUCAUGAACAUGGAACCCACUGGUGGGACCACAGCCCCUCCUCCUCGGGGUGGUACACUGGCCAGACAAUCUAUGACGAUUUAGUUUCGAUGAUCAGUGACGUUGUCUUCAUUUUCAUCACUGUUCUUCGUGCCAAAGCUCCGUCACUUGUCAACCAUGACGAAGCUACUAAUUUCGUCAUCGAAUGACCCAGUUCUGUGACGAAAAUAGUUAGCGUCAUUAGUGAUUCGUCAUUGAUGAACAUAUUUCUAGUAGUGGCACCGUCUACCGAUAAACUAGUACCGUGGGUAUACCUAAGGUAGACUGCCGACUAGCUUUCGUCGACAGAUACGUAUGCACACUUACCCAUAUAAACACACAUACGCAAACCAUAUUAUCCUUGUGAGCACCUCCGAAAAACUAUAUCGGCACAUCUUGAGAUUGACGAAGUCACCACAGGCGUCUAUCAAGGAGGUACAGUAGUGCUAAUCUGAAGGGAGUAUUUAUAUUUAAAUCUAACGAUCCCUAUCUACAUGAAAAGAAUUGCCCACAUCUCUUCAACCAAGUGAAGUGGAACUGAGACAAAACAAUUGUUAUUAUGACUCCAUCUCUCCCCACACUUGUAAUAGAGCCCCUUCGCCCGCCAAUAUGCCUUGAACGUAUUCAGUUUUGCAUCACCCGUUCUUUCAAUCAUCUUCUAGAGAUCCUUUCUAUCAUCUGGACUGACUCAAGACAGACUUACUGAAACUAGAUGGAGGCGGUAUAGGAAGAGGACGAGUUGCGCUUGGAGAACAGAGACUGAUUCAACCAGUCAGCCAGAGCUACAUGAAGACGCUUCCGGCCUGGCUUGGAGAAUAUAGACUGAUCCGGCCGCUAAAGUUCUCUAUGAUUUUUUUUUAUAAAACAAUAUAAAACUGAUUUCAUAUAUUCUAAGAUAAAACAAGGAGGCAAAUCGGAUGGUUUCAAAUGUUAAAGGGAGUAUAAACAUCUAGUUUUCUAAUAGAUGGAAGCAAAUUGGACUUACAUAUAGUUGAGAGAGGUCAGAUGGAUUUUUUCCCUUCUUUUUCUAUGUAUCGUCUGUAGGGUGUAGAAGCUUAUCCCUUUCACGUAGUGUACUCCUUUGGUCCCUUUUUCUAACCGUCGUUCCUCGUAUUUUGACAAGUCAAACAUUCUUAAUUUUAGCAAACAUGUACAAGAAAAUACUAAUAAUAUUUAUAAGAUAUAAUUUAUAUAUUAGAUAGAUCAUUAAAUUUAUUUUUCGUAACAAACUUUUUAGAGAUAAUACGAACCUAAUUAUUUUUCUUUAAAAAAUAUCAGCACACUUUCCCUAGUGACAAAAGGAACUAGUUGCUGAAAAGGUAACCCUGAAUGAAGCGAAUAGAAAAGUCCAUGUAGCACGCGGCAAGAGCCAAGUUGGCAUGCCGCUGGACGAAGGCAGCGGCGACUCGGCCUCACCUGCAAUUCUACAGCCGUCGGAUGAAAGAUCGGCGCAGCAGAUCCAUCCGGUGAGGUGUCUCUGGUCCCCGUGGUCUCUAUAUACAGGGCUGGAUGCAUCAUGCAUGCCAUGUCAGGUCGUGUUUCUAGGGAUUAAAAUUAAACACCUUACCGAGCGAGACGAGACUGCCGUAGUGCCGUGCCGAUCUCUCGUCGGCGGCGAUGUCGUUUCUGGUGGAUUGGUUCUACGACAUGUUUGUCUCUCUGGGCCUCUGGCAGAAGGAGGCCAAAAUCCUCUUCCUCGGCCUCGACAACGCCGGCAAGACCACGCUGCUCCACAUGCUCAAGGACGAGGUACACAUUCUGCCGAUCGCCUAGCUGUUCUUGACUGGUUGCAUAUGAUUAUUCUCGUGCUGGCCGGGAGAUCGACACACGUGUAGUUACUCUCAUGUUUAAUAAACAUUGUAUAUGUAUAUAUGCAGCGGUUGAGUCAGCACGCGCCGACGCAGCAGCCGACGUCGGAGGAGCUGAGCAUCGGGCGGAUCAGGUUCAAGGCGUUCGACCUCGGCGGCCACCGGAUCGCGCGCCGUGUCUGGAAGGACUACUACGCCAAGGUUUGCCUGCCGGAUACUACACGUCGAAAGCAAGCACUCGCGAUCACGUACCAGCCAGCCAUCACUCAUCACAUUUCACAUGGGCGCCUGCAGGUUGACGCGGUGGUGUACAUGGUGGACGCCGCCGACGGCACCCGAUUCGGCGAGUCGAAGGCGGAGCUAGGCGCGCUGCUUUCGGACGACGCGCUGGCGGGCGUGCCGUUCCUCGUGCUGGGGAACAAGAUUGACAUCCCGCAGGCGGCACCUGAGCACGCGCUUGCCUACUACCUCGGGCUCGCCGGCUGCACCACCGGCAAGGGCACCGUCGACCUCGCCGGCACCGGCGUGCGGCCCGUCGAGGUCUUCAUGUGCAGCGUCGUCCGUAAGAUGGGCUACGGCGAAGGGUUCAGGUGGAUGUCGCAGUACAUCAAGUAGGCUUGUCCGGUCCGGUACCGUACGGUAGCCCCCUGAGUUCCUGCCUGACAUCUCUCUUUGCGCUUUCUGGUGUCACCAAAUCAACGACUAGAUACUGUAUAUGUCGAGUUCAUAUACACGCACCUAUAUUUUUAUUUCUAUAUAGGUCCAUAUACUUUGUUCUCAGUCUCGUCACCGUGCCACGCUUUGCUUGCUCUUUUUUUUCUAACCUCUAAAUUGCAUUACUUGGGUGCACUCAAAUCUCGGCAGCAACAAUUACAAGGAUAUCACUCGGAAUAGAGGUUGAGAUGAACUCAACCCCUUCAACACACCCACCACCUAGUGCUGCUAGAGCAUGGCCAGCUUUAUUACAGUCCCUACUCUUAAGCACACAGUUGAAAAUUGAAAAAUUCAAAGAAACUAAAUACUUCAGUUCCUCCACCAGUCCACCUUCAGGCCUUGCGCAUACAUUCCUUGAUAUGAUCUCCUUCUGAACCAAUAGAGCAUCGGUCUUCAGAAUUAAAUUACCAAUGUCGAGGUCGGUAGCUGCUUGUACUCCAUGCAUACACGAGAUCGAUAAGUUCAGCAUCAAAAGGCUGAGAAAGAGUUUGUCUUCUUGUGUCAAGCAUCGGGCGAGACCUUGUCGCGAGAGCGGUUGUAGGAGCCGCGCCCAAGGGGCAUCACCGGGGAGCCCACGAGCCUCAAUAACUCGGGGCAUGUCUUCUUGCACAUGGGCCAUAGCUGGUACCGAAGGCCGGGAAAGGGCCAAGGGUUAGGUCCAAGCUCUUGCUGGUCAGGAGCCUGGGUUUGGGCGAGCCCCUGAACUCCGAGCAGAUGCGGUGGGCGUGCUUGGACUUGGCCUUUUCCUUAGUUUGAGGGUAUGCACAAGCAUACCCGAUAGAUAUAGUUCCCAAGUCCCAAUGGAGAUCCUAGAUGGAUCGGUCGAGGAGUCUCGCGGUCAGGAACUAUUGAUCCCGAGGCUUAAUAUAACCAUAUGUUAGGAUCUUGUUAGUCAUCUUCUCCUCUUCUUGCAUCCAUAUCAUUUCAUUUGCAGCUAUCAUCCUGUCUCCCGAUCAUUUGCCAGAUCGCGUCUCACAGUCGCACGACGGCAUGACAUCUAUCUGUGUGCACAGACAUAGUUGCAGGGUGCGGUGGCCCACAGUUGUGAUGAGGCAGUACAUGUUAUUGUUCCUGCUGUUGUUGCUCGUCGUCGUCUUUGUUGCUUGAUCUCUUUCGAGAGUUUGUUGCUCAAUUGUAAGGCCUAAUAUAAUGUUGCACCUCCUUCUGCAUCGUCUUCCACCUCGCACCCGCACCACCAGAGCCCGCGCCCACGCUAGAGAGGAAGAAGGUGAGGAGGUCAUCAGCGUUAGGGUUCCGGUGGGGUUAGGAUUGUUAGAAGAUAGGGUCUGUUAGUUUGUUGAGAUAGCCAUGCGCUCUCACGUUGUAAUCUUGUAGAGAAAGAUUAGGAAUCUUGUUGUAACAAACUCAAUGUAAACGCCACGGGAGGGGCUGUUCCUCCUCUAUAUUAACACGAACCGAGAGGCCGAGAGGACCAUCUCGUUAACCCUAAUGUCCAUCUCGUUUUACAUGGUAAUCAGAGCCAGUUUCAUCAAGGAACUCGUUCGUGAUGUUUCCAUCAUCCUCCGAACAGUCUGCUGCGGCGUUUCUCGGACUUGGGUUAAUCUCGGUCACGGAGAAACUGACGCGCAGCAACUUUCAGUCAUGGAGGUCUCAAGUCCUCUCGGCGAUCCGCGGAGCGCGUGCUGCGAAGUUCAUCCAACCCGGUGUUCAGGCGCCGGCGGAGUUCCUGGCACCAAAAACCCAGGACUCCAAGGAAGAUCCUGUUGCCAACCCUGAACACGAAUCAUGGGUAGCUAAAGAUCAACAAGUCCUCAGCUACCUGCUGUCUGGACUAUCGAAGGAGAUCCUCGGCCAAGUAUCAACCGAGGUCACGGCAUUGGUGGCAUGGGCCGCCAUUGAAGGCAUAUGUUCGCGUCCCAAUCUAGGGCGCGGAUCAUCACCACAAGGAUGGCACUCUCCACCGCCUCCAAGGGAUCCUCCUCCAUUGGGGAGUAUUACUCCGAGAUGAAGGGACUAGCUGACGAUAUGGCAUCAGCAGGGAAGAAGAUUGAAGAUGAGGAGUUAAUCUCCUACAUACUCACUGGACUCGGCGACGACUACGAAAGCAUCGUGACCUUUGUCUCGGUGCGCGCCGAGCCAAUCUCGGUCCAGGAGCUGUAUACUCAGCUUGUGGCGCAUGAGCAGCGCAUAGAGAUGCGCAACAACGGCGGACAUCAGUCAUCGGCUAUUGUCGCGUACAAGGGAGGUCGCGGCGGCGGCAAUCGCUCUGUGCGUGGUUGCGGAGGAGGCGGCCGAAACGGGAACGUCAACGAUGGAGGUCGCGGAGGUCGUGGCGGCUUCUGGCGUGGUGGUGGCCGCGGCCAUGGUCCCUCAUGGCAGCAAGGAGUCUUUUGCCAAGUCUGCGGCAAGGAAGGCCACGAUGCCAUUCGCUGCUUCAAACGCUUCGACCACAACUACAAGGGCCCGCAUCAAAAGAGUGUUUCUGCUGCGACAACAAACUCAUACGGUGUCGACACCAACUGGUACGUCGACUUCGGUGCCACCGACCACAUCACCGGUGAACUAGAGAGGCUGACGGUCCGUGACAAGUACAAUGGAACAGAACAAGUCCAUGUCGUGAACGGAUCAGGUAUGGAAAUAAAUCACAUUGGACAUAGUGUGUUGCAUUCCCCUACUGGUAAAAUUCAUCUCAAGAACAUCCUUCAUGUUCCCCAAGCCAGUAAAAACCUUGUUUCUGUAAAUAGAUUAUCUCGUAAUAACAAUGUUUUCAUUGAGUUUCAUCCAAAUCACUUUUCUAUCAAGGAACAGCAGACCAAGAAAACUCUUCUUCAAGGCAAAUGUGAGAAAGGCCUCUAUCCUUUGAAGUCCCUGAAUAAACAAGCGCUCGGUGCUACGAGAGAAGCUCUUGGUGUCAUCGCUGCAUCAAGCUCGCUUUGGCAUGCUAGGCUAGGUCAUCCGUCUGCUCAGGUUGUCCAGCAGGUUGCUAGCCGACAUAAAAUUUCCCUUUCUAGAGAUCUGAAUAAUCAUGUGUGCAAUGCUUGUCAACAAGGCAAAUGUCACCAAUUGCCUUAUACUCAUUCUAGUGUUAUUUCAUCGAGUCCUAUGGACCUUGUGUUUUCUGAUGUGUGGGGACCUGCGCCUACUUCUGUAGGCAGACAUGAUUUUUAUGUUAGUUUCAUCAAUGAUCAUACAAAGUUUGUUUGGAUCCAUCUCCUUCGUCAUAAAUCCGAUGUGUUCAAAUGCUUCCAAGAGUUUCAGCAAUUAGUUGAACGUCAAUUCAAUAAGAAAAUUAAAUCUAUACAGACAGAUUGGGGUGGGGAAUAUCAAGCUCUUAAUUCUUUUUUUAAAUGUGUGGGCAUAGUACAUCGCGUUUCAUGUCCACAUGCACACCAGCAAAAUGGGUCAGUAGAAAGAAGACAUCGACACAUUGUCGAAAUGGGUCUCACUCUCCUCUCCCAUUCAAGCAUGCCUCUCAAGUUUUGGGAUGAGGCAUUUCUAACAGCCGUAUUCCUCAUAAAUCGGCUUCCAUCCAAAGUCAUAAAUAAUGAGACUCCCUAUGAACGUUUAUACGGUCAUCCUCCUGACUAUAGUUUUCUCCGUACCUUUGGGUGUGCGGUCUGGCCCCAUCAAGACCCUACAAUGAACACAAACUCCAAUUCAGAUCAAAACGUGUGUCUUUCUUGGCUACAGUAAUCUUCACAAAGGGUUCAAAUGUCUGGAUCCAUCCGUUGGACGUGUCUACAUCUCAAGAGAUGUCACCUUUGAUGAAAAGGUUUUUCCCUUUGCUGAACUUCACCCCAAUGCAGGAGCAAGGCUCCGAGCUGAACUUUCACUUCUACUAGACUCUCCUCUCCAUACCAGUAGUAGUACAUUUGGGGAUGCAACCAUAUUUGACCAUGUUGAUUUAUCUCCAACUAACCUGCCUGGAAGCUCUCUGCAGAAUUCAGCUAAUGCAGGAUCGAAUGGUGCACACAAUGGUGAAAAAACAAUGGGGAGUCAGCGUUAUUUCAUGCAGGAGCAAAGCGACAACACCAGCACGGACUCCCAGGCUGAUUUGGCGGCGCUGUCACCCUCUAUGGAUCCCUCUGUACCUCCAUCAUCAUCGGGAUCGGUGGGAUCCGAUCGGUCCUCACCAACAGGGACAGAAGCUGUGGCGGACUCAGCUGGGGGUGGAUCCUCUACGCCGCAUGAUGACGAUGUCGUGCCAGCUGCGGCCGGUGUGUUGGUGCAAGCUGAUCCGGCUACAGAUCCAGCGGGGUACCUCCUACCACUGCUACUGCUACUGGAUCUUCUGCAGCCGCUGGAUCGUCUACUUCUCAGUCACCGAUGCGUCCAGUGACAUGAGCACAGAAAGGAAUUUCCAAGCCCAAGGCUUACACUGAUGGAACGGUAAGAUGGUGCAACAGUGUCUCAACUACUACAGGUGAACCGACAACUAUCUCUGAGGCUCUUGGGAAGAAGCACUGGGUGGAAGCAAUGGAUAAAGAGCACCAAGCGUUGAUGAAAAAUGAAACAUGGCACUUGGUUCCACGUCCCAAAGGUAAAAAUGUUAUAGGCUGUAAAUGGGUCUAUCGCGUAAAUAGGAAAGCUGAUGGGACAAUAGACCGGUAUAAAGCUCGGCUGGUGGCUAAGGGAUACAAACAACAGUAUGGUAUAGAUUAUGAGGAUACAUUCAGUCCAGUUGUUAAAGCUGCUACCAUACGUCUAAUUCUAUCAAUUGCAGUCUCACGAAAUCGGUCAUUGCGACAGUUGGAUGUACAAAAUGCAUUCCUUCAUGGGGAGCUCGAGGAGGAGGUGUACAUAUAUCAACCACACCAGGAUACAUUGACAAGGUACAACCUACUUAUGUCUGCAAGUUGGAUAAAACAUUAUAUGGUUUAAAACAAGCUCCUCAUGCCUGGUAUGCAAGACUAUGUGGCAAGCUCACUAGGCUCGGCUUUGUUGCCUCCAAGGCUGAUACAUCACUAUUUUUCUAUCACAAAAGAUGUUAUACUCUUUUUGUUCUUGUGUAUGUGGAUGAUAUUAUAGUGGCAAGCUCCUCAAAGGAGGCAACCGAUGCAUUGUUGAGAGACUUGCAGGCAGAAUUUGCGCUCAAGGACCUGGGAGACUUGCAUUACUUUCUCGGUAUUGAAGUCAAGAGAGCAGAAGACGGUCUGUUACUUUCGCAGCAGAGGUAUGCCUCUGAACUCCUUGCCAAGGGAGGGAUGCAAAACUGCAAACCUGUGGACAACCCAUAUGUACAUCCGAGAAGCUAAGCAUCCAUAGUGGAAAUAAGCUAGGAUCCGAAGAUUGGAGCAAGUACAGGAGUAUGGUGGGUGCCCUACAGUAUUUAACUUUAACCAGACCUGAUAUUUCUUUUGCUGUGAAUAAGGUUUGUCAAUUUCUUCACUGUCCAACAACUGUGCAUUGGACAACAGUCAAAAGAAUUCUCAGGUAUGUUUGUGGCACUUGUAGCAAUGGGCUCAAAAUCAAUAAAUCCCCAUCUAUGUUAGUCAGCGCUUUUUCACAUGCAGACUGGACUGGAUGCAUAGAUGACAGGAGAUCCACAGGUGGCUUUGCAGUGUUUCUUGAUAGUAACUUGAUAUCCUAGUGUGCACGCAAACAAGCUACGGUGUCUCGUUCGAGCACUGAAGCUGAAUAUAAAGCUCUUGCAAAUGCAACAACAGAGUUGAUGUGGGUUCAGAAACUGCUACAUGAACUGCACAUUACACAUCCCCCUGCUGCAAGGUUAUGGUGUGACAAUCUUGGAGCUAAGUAUCUUUCUACUAAUCCUAUUUUUCAUGCUAGAACUAAACAUAUAGAGAUUGAUUUUCAUUUUGUGCAAGAGCGAGUUGCUCAAAAGUUACUGGAUAUCAGAUUUAUCAAUACAGGUGAUCAACUGGCAGAUGGCUUUACUAAACCAUUGACUGCCGUCAAGAUGAAGGCUUUUAGAAGCAAUCUCAACCUCUGUAGUGGCUGAGAUUGAGCGGGGGUGUUAGAAGAUAGGGUCUGUUAGUUUGUUGAGAUAGCCAUGCGCUCUCACGUUGUAAUGUUGUAGAGAAAGAUUAGUAAUCUUGUUGUAACAAACUCAAUGUAAACGCCACAGGAGGGGCUGUUCCUCCUCUAUAUUAACACGAACCGAGAGGCCGAGAGGACCAUCUCGUUAACCCUAAUAUCCAUAUCGUUUUACAAGGAUUUCCCCGAUGGCCUUAUAAUGAAGGUUAUAGGGAGGUAGGUCGACCAAGCGGUGGGGACGACCGCUGGGCGGUUUGGGGCCCUGGUGGUGGUGGUGGAGGUGGUUGAGCCAGGUUGCAUUGGGUGGGGGCAUUGCAGUCAGCUCGCCAGUUUGCUACCCUGUGGUUAGUGUGGUCGAGAUCGAGGGAGGUGCCAGAUUGUGGGUGGCGGUAUGUCAUGGCGAGGUGGCUCGCUGGCCGCCGCUACUAGCCGGUGGUGGAGGUAAGGCCGGGGGGGGUCAGGGUGAAGGGAAGGUGAGGGGGAGGACAAGGAUGACGACAACGAGCUUGGCCUGUGUUUAGCGUGGACAAGGUCAUUGGGGUGGUGGCGGGUCGCGGGCAGAGGUGACAGCGGAGGAGGCGAGGGUAGGGAUGGCAGAGUGCUAGAGCGGAGGGAAAGACGGAGGCAAUGAGCGCAUGACGGAGAAGUCUGGUCACACAAUAUAUGCCUUCUUUCUUAAAAACAAAAGGAAGAAAAAAAAAGACCUGGACACUAUCGAGCA
rnacentral:lncRNA from 1 species